GGGGGUUAAUCUCUAAAGAGCAAAAUCGGUUUGUUGGUGAUCACAACGGUUUGAUUUGCGUUGCAGCUGCACUAAAAGUCUCCCGUAGUGCAUAAAAGAAGCCACAGUAUUUUUCUUUCUGGAACUUCCUUGAAGAAAAUGGGCUCAAUAGCACCGCAAGGAGCUAAAUUGAAGCGGCUGAGAAUGGAUACUGCGUUAAUUUAACCCUUUAGUUUCUGCAUUCAACGAAUGUAAUGAUUCUUAAGUUUCGCUCCCAGCACACAGUUCUGGAGGUGCUGAGAUGAUCUGAGCUCCCAGCAGACGGUCUGUAGGGCUGUUUUGAGCCCUGGAGGCAGCACUCAGUGCCCCAGAGCACUCAGCAUGUGCUGCACUAAGGGCUCAUAAAAUGGCCUGGGUUGAAAAGGACCACAGCGAUCAUCAGUACCAACCCCCUGCUAGGAUCGCCAGCCACCAAACCAAGCUGCCCAGAACCACGUUCAGCUUGGCCUUAAGUGUAUCCCAGGCAUAGGGCAUGAAGGUGGGAGCAAAGCCAAGUGCUGGCAGGGGAGAGGGCUGAGAAAAGGGGUAUUGCAGCCAAAAGCAGCGCUGCUGGCACAACCCAUAGCAAAACAUGGCAGUGAGGUUAAGGGGCAAUUUGCUCCUGGAUUAGCCGUGAGGAGCUGAGGCUCAAUGCAUUAUCAGCCCCACCUGUAGCUCAUUAUGAUCUCACCUGUUCCAGCCGUCCCGCAACAAGGAGAAGCGUUGAACUCCUGGAGAUACAGGGGGCUGUAACAAACUCCCACCUCCAUCCCCCACCAUGGGCUGCCUGCCCCACAUCUCAGCCAGCCGAGCUCCGCCCCUAAGGCCGCAGGUGCGAGCGUUAAUGAUCCCUAAUGACCGUUAAAGGUCGUUAAUUGUCGGUGACCCCCCAGGUAGCAAUUAGGGGCGCGCGGUGUUGCGGGAGCUCGCGGAGCGCUGCGGAGUGCAGAGCCAUGGCAAAGCUCUCUGUGACUGGUUGAGGACACAAUUGUGACACUGAGGCCAUGUGGACAGAGUUGAAUACAAGAAUUCAUUACAACUCCAACACAUCCAAGAACAGCAGAAGGUUUAUUCUACUCACAAGCGAUGCGGACGGACGCCUUCCUACUCUUCGA